CGACCUCUAAGAAGGCUCUCGACACAGGUCAAGAAAACAACGACCCCUUCGAGGUAAUGCGGAGUUUGGACCACCGAGCUCAAGCCUACGGCCAUGAACGAUAAGAAAAGCAAAUCAGCGUGACGACGACUGGGCACCUCCAAACGACGUCGACGUCGGACAAGUCAAAAGAUAAAAGAAGUUUAGCAGACAACAAUUUAAUACAACACAUGGACGAGGUAACACAAAAUCUCCUUUUCAUUUUAUUUGCGAAAUAUACACCAC
rnacentral:lncRNA from 1 species